rnacentral:rRNA from 1 species
AACGCGAAGAACCUUACCUACUCUUGACAUCCAGAGAACUUAGCAGAGAUGGAUUGGUGCCUUCGGGAACUCUGAGACAGGUGCUGCAUGGCUGUCGUCAGCUCGUGUUGUGAAAUGUUGGGUUAAGUCCCGCAACGAGCGCAACCCUUAUCCUUUGUUGCCAGCGGUUAGGCCGGGAACUCAAAGGAGACUGCCAGUGAUAAACUGGAGGAAGGUGGGGAUGACGUCAAGUCAUCAUGGCCCUUACGAGUAGGGCUACACACGUGCUACAAUGGCGCAUACAAAGAGAAGCGACCUCGCGAGAGCAAGCGGACCUCAUAAAGUGCGUCGUAGUCCGGAUUGGAGUCUGCAACUCGACUCCAUGAAGUCGGAAUCGCUAGUAGUCGUAGAUCAGAAUGCUACGGUGAAUACGUUCCCGGGCCUUGUACACACCG